GACAGAGGGGGCAAGCGUUGCUCGGAAUUACUGGGCGUAAAGGGCGCGUAGGCGGGAUGGCAAGUCGGUCGUGAAAUCCCUCGGCUCAACUGAGGAGCGUCGAUCGAAACUGCCGUUCUUGAGGGUUGCAGAGGAGACUGGAAUUCCCGGUGUAGCGGUGAAAUGCGUAGAUAUCGUAAGGAAGACCAGUGGCGAAGGCGGGUCUCUGGACAGUUCCUGACGCUGAGGCACGAAGGUCAGGGGAGCAAACGGG
rnacentral:rRNA from 1 species